GAAGUUUAGGUUWCACAAAACCAGGGACCUUCAAAGUCCCAAAUAGGGCCUGGCCCCUAUCUUNUG
rnacentral:tRNA from 1 species